GUGGAUUACUCCGUUUCAAUUAAAUAAUGGAUUACUCCGUUUAAAGUAAAAUCUUGUCCACAGCUAGCUCCACUAUAUAAACGCAAGCCACAUACUUACAAGUUACAACCAUCAUCAUACGGAGUACUUCAUACUUUCAUACCCAGAUUUCUUUUAAAAAAGUUAGAGCAUAUAUAUUGGGAAGAAUGAGGAGUCCAAAGGAGAUGAAGAAUUUAAGCUUAAAGGUAGAUGCAAAAUUAAAGCGGUGCUAUUCCCACUUUGAAAUCUCUUCAAUCUAUUCUCCUAGAACCCCUAACAAAUUCAUCACCUUAUCCCCUGACUCAUCUUCUUUCUCUGCCAUUCAUCAUGUUGAGGUACGUAAGAAGGAAAUGAGACGAGAACUCAAAGUGAGGAGACCCCCAACGCCAAAACCCAAACCGGGGAAGCCCGGCUCACAUCACUAAAGAUUAGAGAGCCCUUUUAAUUUUGUUUAAUUAUUAUGAUAGAUUUUGUUCAUCAAUAACAAAUAACAAUGUAUCUAAGUUAGGAACUUAGGAUCGAUUGUUGUCCAAGGGUUUCCGACUUUUGAACUAGAUACAUUAUAAAAAUACUUGAUUUUCAUUUUUUCAA